rnacentral:rRNA from 1 species
AUUGAACGCUGGCGGCAUGCCUUACACAUGCAAGUCGAACGGCAGCGGACCUUCGGGUGCCGGCGAGUGGCGAACGGGUGAGUAAUAUAUCGGAACGUACCUUUCAGUGGGGGAUAACGUAGCGAAAGUUACGCUAAUACCGCAUACUCUGUGAGCAGGAAAGCAGGGGAUCGCAAGACCUUGCGCUGAUUGAGCGGCCGAUAUCAGAUUAGCUAGUUGGUGAGGUAAAGGCUCACCAAGGCGACGAUCUGUAGCGGGUCUGAGAGGAUGAUCCGCCACACUGGAACUGAGACACGGUCCAGACUCCUACGGGAGGCAGCAGUGGGGAAUUUUGGACAAUGGGCGCAAGCCUGAUCCAGCCAUGCCGCGUGAGUGAAGAAGGCCUCGGUUGUAAG